UAGACCAUAUACCCCCUUAUAAAUUUGACCGACUCCACUUUCCCAAAAUCCUCCAACUAGCUUGCUUGUUUGACGCGCCCCGAUUUCUUCCGAUUCGUCCAUCUCUACGGAUCCAAACAAACCCUAACCCUAGACUUCAAUAAUGUCAUCCAAGCAAGGUGGAAAAGCGAAGCCAUUGAAGCAACCAAAGGCUGAAAAGAAAGAAUACGAUGAGAUAGAUAAGGCCAACAUUCAAAAGAAGAAGGAAGAAGAAAAGGCGCUCAAGGAGCUUAGAGCCAAAGCUCAAAAGGGAGCUUUGGGAGGUACCGGUCUGAAGAAAAGCGGCAAGAAAUGAGGCCUACAAUGAUAAAGUUAUCACAUGUUCUAAAUUACUAAUUAAUGCUGCUGCACCUACUGUAUUUAUGGUUACGUGGUUUGCUAUUUUAUGUAUCAAGUCUUUUGUGAUUGUUCUUGUGUAGAUCUCAAGAGGAACAACCAUACUGACAUUUGAUAUUGUUGAUUUAUGGGGUGUAAUGAUUUAGUGAAGUUAUUAUGGUUUUGGGUCGGGUUAA